rnacentral:rRNA from 1 species
UACGUAGGGGGCAAGCGUUGUCCGGAAUCAUUGGGCGUAAAGAGCGUGUAGGCGGCCGCACAGGUCCGUUGUGAAAACUGGAGGCUUAACCUCCAGACGUCGAUGGAAACCGUGCGGCUAGAGUCCGGAAGAGGAGAAUGGAAUUCCUGGUGUAGCGGUGAAAUGCGCAGAUAUCAGGAAGAACACCCGUGGCUAAGGCGGUUCUCUAGUACGGUACUGACGCUGAGGUGCGAAAGCGUGGGGAGCAAACAGG